rnacentral:rRNA from 1 species
UACGGAGGGGGCUAGCGUUGUUCGGAAUUACUGGGCGUAAAGGGCACGUAGGCGGCCAUUCAAGUUAGGUGUGAAAGCCCUGGGCUCAACCUAGGAAUUUGCACUUGAUACUGUUUGGCUUGAGUUCGGGAGAGGUGAGUGGAAUUCCCAGUGUAGAGGUGAAAUUCGUAGAUAUUGGGAAGAACACCAGUGGCGAAGGCGGCUCACUGGACCGACACUGACGCUGAGGCGCGAAAGCGUGGGGAGCAAACAGG